UACGAAGGGUGCAAGCGUUACUCGGAAUUACUGGGCGUAAAGCGUGCGUAGGCGGUUUGUUAAGUCCGUUGUGAAAGCCCUGGCUCAACCUGGGAAUUGCAGUGGAUACUGGCGAGCUAGAGUGCGGUAGAGGAUGGUGGAAUUCCCGGUGUAGCGGUGAAAUGCGUAGAGAUCGGGAGGAACACCCGUGGCGAAGGCGGCCAUCUGGACCAGCACUGACGCUGAGGCACGAAAGCGUGGGGAGCAAACAGG
rnacentral:rRNA from 1 species